GCAAUUGUCCCGCUUCACGUCCAGGACAGAGUUAACAUAAUUAAUUUUUGCAUUUAUAAUUUAAUUUAUGAAAUAAUUAAUAUUCUUUAAAUGUGGAGCACGUUUUCACCAGGUUAUCGUCGAAGAUUAAAUUUAAAUUGAUUGCUGAGGAUACUAAAUUUAGAAGAGUGCAAUUCUCAAACCGUAUUAAAGAUGCUUUGUCAAGAAUAAAGUAGUAAGGGAAAGAGUGUUUCCAGUUUGCUUUCCUUCAAAAAGUUCUCAUACUGGUCAUUUUACUAGAGAUGAUACUUAUUACUUAAGUAUAAAGACGUCCGAAACUUGUGUUGUUUAAAGAAUCUUAAUGUAA
rnacentral:lncRNA from 1 species